AACGAACGCUGGCGGCAGGCUUAACACAUGCAAGUCGAACGCCCCGCAAGGGGAGUGGCAGACGGGUGAGUAACGCGUGGGAAUCUACCCAGUUCUACGGAACAACUGAGGGAAACUUCAGCUAAUACCGUAUACGCCCUACGGGGGAAAGAUUUAUCGGAAUUGGAUGAGCCCGCGUAAGAUUAGCUAGUUGGUGGGGUAAUGGCCUACCAAGGCGACGAUCUUUAGCUGGUCUGAGAGGAUGAUCAGCCACACUGGGACUGAGACACGGCCCAGACUCCUACGGGAGGCAGCAGUGGGGAAUAUUGGACAAUGGGCGCAAGCCUGAUCCAGCCAUGCCGCGUGAGUGAUGAAGGCCUUAGGGUUGUAAAGCUCUUUCAGUGGGGACGAUAAUGACGGUACCCACAGAAGAAGCCCCGGCUAACUUCGUGCCAGCCGCCGCGGUAAGAC
rnacentral:rRNA from 1 species